UUGGAGGGCAAGUCUGGUGCCAGUAGCCGCGGUAAUUCCAGCUCCAAUAGCGUAUAUUAAAGUUGCUGCAGUUAAAAAGCUCGUAGUUGAAUUUCGGGACUAUCAUGUCGGUCGUGCCUCGGUACGUACUGGUAUUGUUGGUUUCUCCCUUCUGACGAACCAUGAUGUCAUUUAUUUGGUGUUGUGGGGAAUCAGGACUGUUACUUUGAAAAAAUUAGAGUGUUUAAAGCAGGCUCACGCUUGAAUACAUUAGCAUGGAAUAAUGAAAUAGGACGUUUGAUUCUAUUUUGUUGGUUUCUAGGAUCGACGUAAUGAUUAAUAGGGAUAGUUGGGGGCAUUAGUAUUCAAUUGUCAGAGGUGAAAUUCUUGGAUUUAUUGAAGACUAACUACUGCGAAAGCAUUUGCCAAGGAUGUUUUCAUUAAUCAAGAACGAAAGUUAGGGGAUCGAAGACGAUCAGAUACCGUCGUAGUCUUAACCAUAAACUAUGCCGACUAGGGAUCGGAUGAUGUUAAUUUUUUAAUGACUCAUUCGGCGCCUUACGGGAAAC
rnacentral:rRNA from 1 species